rnacentral:rRNA from 1 species
UACAGAGGGUGCGAGCGUUAAUCGGAAUUACUGGGCGUAAAGGGCGCGUAGGCGGUUGUAUAAGUUAGGUGUGAAAUCCCCGGGCUUAACCUGGGAAUGGCAUUUAAUACUGUAUGACUAGAGUAGAGUAGAGGGAAGUGGAAUUUCCGGUGUAGCGGUGAAAUGCGUAGAUAUCGGAAAGAACAUCGGUGGCGAAGGCGGCUUUCUGGACUUAUACUGACGCUGAGGCGCGAAAGCAUGGGUAGCAAACAGG